ACUUUUGCUGAUGAUGUAAGAUGGCAAUUAAGUGGAGAAAUUAUCAGAAAGCUGACACAAUUUUCUGCUAGUUUUAAUCAGUUUUAGAAGUCAGUCGAUGAAAUGUGAUGUUCCUGCCAGGUGCUUAGCUUGGUAUGAAAUGGGACUCCUGUCCUCAAGCUGCUUUGCUAGGGGGUGCCUAGACGAAGGCAGUGGAGUUUUGGGAAAACAAAUGAGCAACUAAGAAAGAGCUAAACAGUGGCGCAUUCCUUCUAAGUGCAAGAGAAAUUUAGAAAGGAGUAAUGUCUAGUAAUGCCAGGAAGGCUUCCCAGAGGAAGAGGUGUCAAGGGCCUGAGGUGCUUACGUGUGCUGGCUCGCCCCUUGCCAGCAGAUCUUGUUAUGUCAAAGGUUCUGAGAAGUCCUGCAGCGUAAAAUCCGCAUUUCCCAAACAUACUGGUGGGACCACAGAAUCUCUCCUCCCACAAUACAGUUUAUAUCAGAUACAGAGAAGAGAUCUUCUGGGAAUGCUGCUGAGAGAGGGUGAGAACUGAGUGAGGUCAGGCACAGGAGGGAUUUGCUCGGGAGGGGAAGAGAGGGCUUAUGGUCCAGGUGGUGCAUGAUUGUUGUAUGCAGUGGGGGUGCAUCCUGGCUGCUGGGGAGAGCGGGAAAGGGGAUGAGUAGGCUGAGUGGGGCCACACUGUUUGGAGACAGGCAGAAUUCAGGCAGGACGGAAGGAAGCAGGC
rnacentral:lncRNA from 1 species